rnacentral:rRNA from 1 species
UACAGAGGUCCCAAGCGUUGUUCGGAUUCACUGGGCGUAAAGGGUGCGUAGGUGGUGAGGUAAGUCGGAUGUGAAAUCUCCAGGCUCAACCUGGAAAUGGCAUUGGAAACUACCUUGCUAGAGGGUUUGAGGGGGGACUGGAAUACUUGGUGUAGCGGUGAAAUGCGCAGAUAUCAGGAGGAACACCGAUGGCGAAGGCAGGUCUCUGGGCAUUAACUGACGCUGAGGAGCGAAAGCAUGGGGAGCGAACAGG